GAUGAACGCUGGCGGCGUGCCUAAUACAUGCGAGUCGAGCGAACGGACGAGAAGCUUGCUUCUCUGAUGUUAGCGGCGGACGGGUGAGUAACACGUGGAUAACCUACCUAUAAGACUGGGAUAACUUCGGGAAACCGGAGCUAAUACCGGAUAAUAUUUUGAACCGCAUGGUUCAAAAGUGAAAGACGGUCUUGCUGUCACUUAUAGAUGGAUCCGCGCUGCAUUAGCUAGUUGGUAAGGUAACGGCUUACCAAGGCAACGAUGCAUAGCCGACCUGAGAGGGUGAUCGGCCACACUGGAACUGAGACACGGCCCAGACUCCUACGGGAGGCAGCAGUAGGGAAUCUUCCGCAAUGGGCGAAAGCCUGACGGAGCAACGCCGCGUGAGUGAUGAAGGUCUUCGGAUCGUAAAACUCUGUUAUUAGGGAAGAACAUAUGUGUAAGUAACUGUGCACAUCUUGACGGUACCUAAUCAGAAAGCCACGGCUAACUACGUG
rnacentral:rRNA from 1 species